GGGGGACAACAGAGGCAGUAGGUUUUGUGUCAACAGCAUUCAGCACUCUGUAUCACAGGCCAUUAUCCAGAAUCCAUUCAGCAAUGGAGGAAGCCCUACCACUGAUGGCAGUUAGCUGGAGGAACACUUCACCUGUUUUCCAUCUUCCACGGUGGGGGACACUACAGCAGUGUCUGUAUCAACCUCUGACCCAACAGUGACUCAAGCAGGAGUUUUUAGAUGUAUGUCAACAUAAAUGGGAUAGAGGGAUGUUAAUCUUCUAACGUUUUGUGGAUCCGCGAUAGUAUAUCCAAGUCACCCUGCCAUAGCACAAUAAAGAUUGAUCUGGAGACAAAGAGCGGCAGCAUCAGCAGAUCGUCCUGGAGGGUAAACAGGAACCUGGAGGAGCACUUUCAUCAAUCAACAGGAGGAGGAAACGAGGAGGAAAAAACAAUAAUUAUUAAUAAUUAUUUACAAGUAUGAACCUACAGAACAUCCUGGGGAUCUGUCUAAAGGAACAAUCACCCCAACGCCCCAAUUUCUACACAGGGCAGCUCCUGGCAAUCAUAAAGUUCACAUGGUGCAAUACAGUACAAGAUGAACCAAAUGUCUAUAUAAAAGUUUGCUCCAGAUGUACAUGAGGAAUUCAAUGCCUCAAAAAAAUUCCAGUUAAAUGGCAGGAUAUGGGCCAUUUUACUGUGAGCUGUGGUUACUGAAAAACACAGGUUCCAAAAGUCCCUUUAAACGGACAGGGCAAGUUUAUGGAAUAGCAUGGUCAGUUUGUUAGUGCAGAGCACGCACAAUGACAUACAAUCUGACUGCCAGUGGAAAAUCUGUCAUUGAGGUAAAAAUCUCACUUCAGCAGAGAAUUUACCUUCCGUUCCAAGGUGUCAGCAAUUUGUAAUAUUUAUCAACCAGUCACAACUUUAUAACAAUAAUGAAUGCCAGUUUCUACCUUA